UACUAGAGUAGCACUCGCAUAUCAAUAAGCGGAGGAAAAGAAACUAACAAGGAUUCCCCUAGUAACGGCGAGUGAAGCGGGAAGAGCUCAAAUUUGAAAUCUUAAAGGGUUUCCCUUUACGAAUUGUAGUUUUAAAGAAGUGUUUUCUGUUGAGGUUUUGGUAAAAGUUCUUUGGAAUAGGACAUCAUAGAGGGUGAGAAUCCCGUAUUUGACCUUUACUUUCAACUUUGUGAUACACUUUCAAAGAGUCGGAUUGUUUGGGAAUGCAGUCCAAAAUGGGUGGUAAAUUUCAUCUAAAGCUAAAUAUUGGCGAGAGACCGAUAGCGAACAAGUACCGUGAGGGAAAGAUGAAAAGAACUUUGAAAAGAGAGUUAAACAGUACGUGAAAUUGUCAAAAGGGAAGCGUUUGACACCAGUGUUGUUUUUCUGAAAAUCAAUUAAAGAACUGUUUAUGCUAAGUUGUUUAGACUUUAUCAGCUAACUGUUUAGUUUUGAGCUUUUCUUUAAUGCACUUUUCAGUUAACAAGUCAACAUCAAUUUCUUUUGCUGUAAAAAAGCUUGAGGAAGGGUGGCUUGAGAUUCGUCUUAAGUGUUUAUAGCCUCUUGCCUAUGCAGUCGGAGAGAUUGAGGUCUGCAGCGUAGAUCCUUCGGGGCUAAAUGCAUUUGUGCUAAGUUAUAGCAUUUUAUAGACAACUUGUUGACUAUGAUUUGUCUUGUAGCUUACUCGCUUAUGUUAUUUUACCUACGCUUAGGAUGUUGAUAUCGCGCUCUCACUG
rnacentral:rRNA from 1 species